UUUCCGUAGGUGAACCUGCGGAAGGAUCAUUACUGAGUGAGGGCCCCUCGGGGUCCAACCUACCACCCGUGUCCAACGAACUUUGUUGCUUCGGCGGGCCCGCCUCACGGCCGCCGGGGCGCAUUUCCCCCCGGUCCCGAACCCGCCGAAGCCACCUGUGAACGCUGUCUGAGGUAUGCAGUCUGAGACAAUUAUUAAAUUAAUUAAAACUUUCAACAACGGAUCUCUUGGUUCCG
rnacentral:misc_RNA from 1 species